AUGCUUAACACAUGCAAGUCGAACGGUAACAGAUAAGAUGAUCUCUUCGGAGUGAAUCUUUGCUGACGAGUGGCGGACGGGUGAGUAAUGCUUGGGAAUCUGCCCAAUAGUGGGGGAAAACUCGGGGAAACCCGGGCUAAUACCGCAUAAUCUCUACGGAGGAAAGAGGGCCUCUACAUGUAAGCUCUCGCUAAUGGAUGAGCCCAAGUCAGAUUAGCUAGUUGGUAAGGUAAUGGCUUACCAAGGCUACGAUCUGUAGCUGGUCUGAGAGGAUGAUCAGCCACACUGGGACUGAGACACGGCCCAGACUCCUACGGGAGGCAGCAGUGGGGAAUAUUGCACAAUGGGCGCAAGCCUGAUGCAGCAAUGCCGCGUGUGUGAAGAAGGCUCCAGGGUUGUAAAGCACUUUCAAUAGAGAAGAAAAGCUUGAAAUUAAUACUUUCAAGCCUUGACGUAAUCUAUACAAGAAGCACCGGCUAAUUCCGUGCCAGCAGCCGCGGUAAUACGGGAGGUGCGAGCGUUAAUCGGAAUUACUGGGCGUAAAGCGAGCGUAGGCUGUUAAUUAAGUCGAAUGUGAAAUCCCCGGGCUCAACCUGGGAACUGCAUUCGAAACUAUUUAACUAGAGUAUGGGAGAGGAAAGUAGAAUUUCCGGUGUAGCGGUGAAAUGCGUAGAUAUCGGAAGGAACACCAGUGG
rnacentral:rRNA from 1 species